rnacentral:rRNA from 1 species
AACGAACGCUGGCGGCAGGCCUAAGGCAUGCAAGUCGAACGAUCCGUAUCUUCGGAUACAAUGGAUAGUGGCGCACGGGUGAGUAACGCGUGGGAAUAUACCCCUUGGUAAGGAACAACAGUUGGAAACGACUGCUAAUACCUUAUAAUGACUCCGGUCCAAAGAUUUAUCGCCAAGGGAUUAGCCCGCGUCUGAUUAGGUAGUUGGUGAGGUAAAAGCUCACCAAGCCGACGAUCAGUAGCUGGUCUGAGAGGAUGAUCAGCCACACUGGUACUGAGACACGGACCAGACUCCUACGGGAGGCAGCAGCUAGGAAUAUUGGACAAUGGAGGAAACUCUGAUCCAGCCAUGCCGCGUGAGUGAAGAAGGCCUUCGGGUUGUAAAACUCUUUCAGAUGUGAAGAUGAUGACGGUAACAUCAGAAGAAGCCCCGGCUAACUUCG